rnacentral:misc_RNA from 1 species
UUAACUAUUGUAUAGUACUCAGACAUCACUAAAAUUCAGAGUUUGGUCCUCUGGCAGGCACAUGCAGGCAGAGCCCACAGUGGGAGACCACGGCCUGCCAAAGCAACAAGAGUAGAUAGACACGGAUGGGGUAUACCCGAAGGUAUCCUUUUAUUAAUGAUCCUUCCGCAGGUUCACCUACGGAAA